AUAACAUUUGAACCAUCGGUCUACCGAGCAAUAUCCUCCGCUCGGUAGAAGAUCCUUUCGUCGU
rnacentral:pre_miRNA from 1 species